rnacentral:rRNA from 1 species
UACAGAGGUUUCAAGCGUUGUUCGGAUUCAUUGGGCGUAAAGGGUGUGUAGGCGGCUUGGUAAGUCGGAUGUGAAAUCCCGGGGCUCAACCCUGGAACUGCAUUCGAUACUGCCUUGCUCGAGGACUCGAGAGGAGAUUGGAAUUCACGGUGGAGCAGUGAAAUGCGUAGAUAUCGUGAGGAACACCAGUGGCGAAGGCGGAUCUCUGGAGAGAUCCUGACGCUGAGGCACGAAGGCCAGGGGAGCAAACGGG